UACGUAGGGGGCAAGCGUUGUCCGGAUUUACUGGGCGUAAAGAGCGCGUAGGCGGAAGGUGAAGCGUGGCCUGAAAGCCCCCGGCUCAACCGGGGAGGGCGGCUGCGAACUGGCCUUCUUGAGGGCGAUAGAGGGGGGCGGAAUUCCUGGUGUAGCGGUGAAAUGCGUAGAGAUCAGGAGGAACACCCGUGGCGAAGGCGAGUCCCUGGACGAUACCUGACACUGAGGCACGAAAGCCAAGGGAGCAAACAGG
rnacentral:rRNA from 1 species